rnacentral:rRNA from 1 species
AUUGAACGCUGGCGGCAGGCCUAACACAUGCAAGUCGAACGAGUGGCGGACGGGUGAGUAAUGUCUGGGACACUGCCCGAUGGAGGGGGAUAACUACUGGAAACGGUCGCUAAUACCGCAUACUAUCGGAUGUGCCCAUAGGGGAUUAGCUAGUAGGUGGGGUAACGGCUCACCUAGGCGACGAUCCCUAGCUGGUCUGAGAGGAUGACCAGCCACACUGGAACUGAGACACGGUCCAGACGCCUACGGGAGGCAGCAGUGGGGAAUAUUGCACAAUGGGCGCAAGCCUGAUGCAGCCAUGCCGCGUGUAUGAAGAAGGCCUUAGGGUUGUAAAGUACUUUCAGCGAGGAGGCGUUACUCGCAGAAGAAGCACCGGCUAACUCCGUGCCAGCAGCCGCGGUAAUAC